rfam:Triticum aestivum genome assembly, contig: Triticum_aestivum_CS42_TGACv1_scaffold_641530_T_4AL-0.176826_6AS-0.135927
AUAGCACUCCCUCUGUUUGAAAAUACUUGUUGAAAAAAUGCAUAAAAAUGAAUGUAUCUAGAACUAAAAUACAUUUAGAUACAUCUAUUCUUCCGACGAGUAUUUUUAAACGGAAGAAGUAGGCU